CCCUUAGAUGUCCUGGGCUGCACGCGCGCUACACUGAUGUGUCCAGUAAGCACCUAACCUCUUCCGAAAGGAACGGGUAACCUUUGCAAAGCACAUCGUGAUGGGGAUAGAUUAUUGCAAUUAUUAAUCUUGAACGAGGAAUUCCUAGUAAACGCAGUUCAUCAAACUGCAUUGAUUACGUCCCUGCCCUUUGUACACACCGCCCGUCGCACCUACCGAUUGAAUGGUCCGGUGAAGCCUCGGGAUUGUGGCUGGUUUCCUUUAUUGGAGGUCGGUUGCGAGAACUUGUCUAAACCUUAUCAUUUAGAGGAAGGUGAAGUCGUAACA
rnacentral:rRNA from 1 species